rnacentral:rRNA from 1 species
GAGUUUGAUCCUGGCUCAGGAUGAACGCUGGCGGCGCGCUUAACACAUGCAAGUCGAAUGUAGCAAUACAUGGCGGACGGGUGAGUAACGCGUGAGCAAUCUGCCCAUAUCUGGGGGAUAACAGUUGGAAACGACUGAUAAUACCGCAUAAUAUGGUUUGAAGGCAUCUUCGAACCAUCAAAGAUUUAUCGGAUAUGGAUGAGCUCGCGUCUGAUUAGCUAGUUGGUGAGGUAACGGCUCACCAAGGCGACGAUCAGUAGCCGACCUGAGAGGGUGAUCGGCCACAUUGGAACUGAGACACGGUCCAAACUCCUACGGGAGGCAGCAGUGGGGAAUAUUGGGCAAUGGAGGAAACUCUGACCCAGCAACGCCGCGUGAAUGAUGAAGGUCUUCGGAUUGUAAAGUUCUUUCUAAGGGAAGAAGAAAGGACGGUACCUAGGA